UACGGGGGGGGCAAGCGUUGUUCGGAAUUACUGGGCGUAAAGGGCUCGUAGGUGGCCAACUAAGUCAGACGUGAAAUCCCUCGGCUUAACCGGGGAACUGCGUCUGAUACUGGAUGGCUUGAGUUUGGGAGAGGGAUGCGGAAUUCCAGGUGUAGCGGUGAAAUGCGUAGAUAUCUGGAGGAACACCGGUGGCGAAGGCGGCAUCCUGGACCAACACUGACACUGAGGAGCGAAGGCCAGGGGAGCAAACGGG
rnacentral:rRNA from 1 species